AAUAUUAUUGUCCACUGGAAUUCAUAUGUGCUAUAAAUGUACUUCAUGUUUUUUUUUUUAUGUGAUCACAUAUUACUCACAUGUGAUUAAAAACAUAUCUAUGUGAUGUAAAGGAAAAGCACCUGCAAGCAUUCAAACAUGAGAGCAUGACAAUGACAUCAUCAUCCAUGUGAAUGUGAUUUCAUUUACAGUAAGAUGUCUUGAUCACUUGUGGACCAGAAAUCCUAAAACAGUGCACUCAUAAUCUAUUUUUCUCUUUUUACUUUUUCUUUCAUUUAAUGAUGAAAAUCCUACACUCAUAAACCGACUGCUCUAAUUUGACCAUAAGAAUAUUCCCACGUAAAUAAUAAUCACACAGUCUGUUCUGAUAGCACACAGCGCUGAACGUAUUCCCUAUCGAUGGUAACACCCGCACGUGGGCGACUACAGCACAGAGACUGAGUGUCUUUUCUGUUCAUGAGAACGAGGAAAUAAAAUGCUGUAUUUGGGGAAAUGGUUUUAGCAGACGUUAAGGAGAGAGACACGAUCCCAGGCUUCAGGGAGGGAGAAAAGAGAGAGGACAGAAGAUCAUCCUUCAGUUUGCACCCUCGCUACGAUGCGCUGCGAAAACACAGCCGAGUGGGAAGCAAGACUUAGGAGCAUUUCCCUACACGGCUCCACAACAAUCCCAUCAGCCCCUAAUCAGGCCUGGAUCAGGCCUGGACCAGAAAAGCAGCUCCAUCCUCAGCCCACCUCCAUCCACAUGCUCAGGCUAUGACGCAGCUGCAGGACAAUGGAAGGAUAUUGAAAUGCGUUGGUGUCUCCAAGAAAGUCCCCACAAUCAUCUGCCAGCUUUGGCCAUGAGGUGAAUAUAGAAUGCUGGAAGGGUUAAGAGUGUGUUGCCUCAUUGGCUUCAGUUUCUCAUACUGUGCUUUGCAUAAGUAUUCACACCCCCUCCCUCUGCAGAACUUUUUCUUAUUUUGUAGCGUUGCAAGCUGGAACUGAAAUGGAAUUAAUUGGAAUUUUGUGUCUUGGAUCUACACAAAACAGCCUACAAUUUUUAGUGGAAGGAAAAUCAUUUUUGUUUGUUUGUUUGUUUGUUUUUUAAAUCUAUUGCACAAGUAUUCAUCCUUAAUUGGUCACCUUCAGAAGUCACAUAAUUAGCUGAAUGGAGAUUACCUGUGUGCUAUUAAAGUGUCACAUGAUCAAAAUAUGAAUACACCUGUUACUGGAAGGCCCCUGAGUUUAUUUGAGGACUUACCUGAAAAAACCAGCAUCAUGAAAUCCCAAACAGCUAUAAAAACAAAUCUAGUUUCAGCAAAUUCCAAGUUCCAUGUAUCAAUUAGGGUUUGAUUAUAUUAAAAAAAAAUCCUACACUUUGAAAAAUUCCGUGGAAUUUCCAUUAAAGCCAUUAUUAAAUAUAGAAAUAAUAUGGCACAAUCACAAUGAGAACAUCCAGAAAAAAUAUAGGUAAAGAGGGCAUUAGUCAUAGAAGCAGCCAGGAUCACCCUUACAAUAUUAUAGGCUAUUUUUUGUAGAUUUAUGACCACAUUGAAAAUCUGGGAUUUUUUAAAUUAUUAUUUUAUUUAAAACUGGAAAUAAACAAAGUUUAAGAAUUUUGAAAAAUUUAAAACAGAGUAAGGAAAUGUUAUGACAUUCGUUAUGUUAUAAUAUUCAGUAUUAUGUGUAUUUAAUAUUCAAGAUUGUGCAUUAUUUGUAGGUUAUUAUCUGUUUACAUUUAAAAACAUUUGUCAUAUUGAUCAUGUUAACUCCUUUGCACAAAAGGAACUCAUUGAUUUUCCUUGAGUUUUAUUCCUUCCAGUUAAGCACUUGUUCAGAUGACACUCCAACGGAUUUGAUCUAACAUCUAUCCCGAUGUACUGAAUAUUAAGAAAUUCUGACAUUUAUGUAAAUAUUUCUUAGAUACUACUUUUCACCUAAGUUUUUGGUGAUAACAAUUUGUAAUUUAAACUUUUAUGUUCAAUUAAAAAUGAACGCAAAGCAUUUUCACCACUAAAAAUGUGAAUAUUACACUGUUCUUUUCCACUGUACAUUAAAUUGUGGGAAUAUAAACAGGCUCUCUCUCUCUCUCUCUCUCUCUCUCUCUCUCUCUCUCUCUCUCUCUCUCUCUCUCUCUCUGUGUGUGUGUGUGUGAGAGAGAGAGAGAGAGAGAGAGAGAGAGAGAGAGCAGGAGAGAGAGAAAGAGAGUGUUAAAGGGAAGCUGUUCAAAAUCAAAUCACUCUACUGUACAAAAUGAUGUACCAGAUUUUUGUCUUGAUUUCCCAAAAGUAUCCGAGCACAGCAGUUAUCAGCGAUGGUGCAGUGAUAAACAUACUGUACAUGAACAGUCUAAUAGCAGGAAUAAUGUUAACAUUAUGCUGUACAGACCCUGACCAGUUCAACUGGUGAAAACAAAUCACCUUCAAUUCCCUUCUGUGCCACUUUUAGAUUAUUUGCAGGCUAUGUUAUAAUGCCUAUAAUUGAGUCUAAUUGAAUCUAUUUAACUUUGCUUUUACAAUCAAGCAGUAUCGAAACUGAUAGAAACCAGGCUCAUGUAAGACUCUGUAAUUAUUAGCUUGUUAUUACAAUCUGAAAGAGACUCCUCUGCUAAAUAGCUACUCCUUAUAGACCUCGCUUAAUGUCAUGAUUCAUGUUGGUUAUAUCAAUAAGCUUUUUUUUUUUAUCCAGAUUGUUCCAUCAAGAUAUAUUGUAGAAUAUAGCAUACAGAGUUGAGUGCAUUUGCUUUCCCAUGAUUUCGGGACGAAAAUGUAACUCUAUUUUGCAAUUUAUCCAUAAACAUAUAUGUUGAAAUUUUUUUUUAAAAAGAUGCAUUAGGCAAGAUGAGCCUGCCCCCACUCUUACUCAUGUAUACAAAGCUACGUCCCCAGAACCUAUGGUGGUUAAAGUAGAGUUAGCAUGCUAACUAGGACUGUCAUGACUUUAGUGAUUGAUGAGAAUAGUCAAGAGUGCCUUCGUUGUCCUGCUUUUCUUCGUAAUGAGCUGUGGGAUUAACAUUAUUAGCACUUCAAGGUACACAAUAGGCCAUUCAGCUCCUUGACAGUGAAGUUAUAACACCAUAAAUCCAUGACAUACAGGAGUUUGGGGGUUUGAUUCCUAUCUCUGCCCUGUGUGCAUGGAGUUUGCAAGUUGUCCCUGUGAUUUGGGGGUUUCCUAUGGGUAUUCCGGUUUCCUCCCCCAGUCCAAAGACAUGCAUUGUAGGCUGAUUGGUAUCUCUAAAUUGUCCAUAGUGUGUGAGUGUUUGUGUGAUUGUGCCCUGCGAUGGGUCGGCACCCCGUCCUACUCCCUGCGACUCUGUCAUUCCCUGUGAUCCUGUGUAGGAUAAGCGGUGCAGAAAAUGGAUGUAUGGAUGGAUAUUUACGUAAAGCCAUUCCUACAAACAAUUCAAAACUUAAUACAGAUUGCAUUUGCAUAUCUGUCCAGUGUCCAGCUUCAUCCCCUUCACAAGUAAUAGAUUACAUCAUCAUGGAAAAGUGUUACCAAUGUUUAUUCUGGCUUUACUGCACUUCUUGUCAUUAAGGUUUAAGCACAGUAUGGUGUUUGCUCACAGGAGAAUUAUUUGGCUGCACUGUGCACAUGCAGAUUUCAGACUGAGAAAAGGGGGUGGAGUGAAGGGGCAUUGGCAAGUUUCUAUAAUUGACAAGAGGCCCAUAACAAACACUCCAGACCAUAAUGCAUUUUUCCAAACAAUUCUAUCAGCCACAUAAUACAUUUGUUCUGAAGCCAUUUUUUUUUCUCUCCAGGUUAUUUGCAUAAAUAAGAAAAAAAAAUGCCUAUUGCACAUUUAAACAUGUAACAUAAACAUUUAAACGUGGCUCAUUAACAAUUCCGAUUCACUCCUCAACAAAUGAAAAAAGAGAUAAAUAAGAAAAAAGGUUUAAAAUAGCAAUAGUUUAUCAAUGAUCGUCUUGGGCAAAGAGUACCCAACCAAUCAAUAGAGAGCUGUGAGGAAAAUUGUGGUUAUUAUUACAACUGAGAGUAUCCAAAGACUGAGGACAGGGAAGAGGUUGUAGUCAGGUAUAUAUAAAGGCAAAGGGUGACCAUACAAAUUAUUACAGCAUAUUUCUAUCGUAUUCAAAAAGAGAGAUGUAAUCAAUUACGUUUGUGUUAGUGUCUUUCACAGAUGUUCUUUCCUUAUGUCAUCUUGCUAUAAAGUGCAUUUCUUUGUCUGUUUUUUCCAGUGCCAAGAUUAUGCAAACUUUCACACUCAACUGUAUACAAAAUGAAGCAGAAUCACUUGACAGGUUUUUCGUGCAGAAUUUUAUGCUCCACUUUCAAGUGUUCAGACUGUCACACAUUUCCAGGUGUGGAUUCAUUUAGGAAUUCCUUCAUACUUCCACAUUCAUGGCAUUAAAGAAAGAAAAAUGAUGCCAGGCCUGUUACUGUGUAAUCAGGACAUUGCUACAUUUCCUUCCGCGAUAAAUAAACUCUUUAAAAGUGAGAAAGCGAGACGUUGAGCGUGUGUUUGACUACAUGCAUGUGCGUGUGUGUUUAAGGUCGGCUAGCACAUGAAAGCCUGGAAAACUCUCGAUGCCACACUUGUGCUGAAAAGACCUCGUCAUCCAAAUGCAGCACUAAUAUUCCAACAGUUCAGCAUCAUUCUGAAACACAAUUCUGGACUGCAAAGGCUUACAGUGAGGAAAGAAAAGCAACCAGACCCUUUAAUGAAGAAUGAUGGCAAGUAGGCACAGAUUCAAUGAGCUUUCCUUUACUUUUGCUGAAGUUCUGAUAAAGCUCUGCAGAGCUCCCCAAAUCUGUAAUUACUCACUCUGUACCACAGUUGAGUUAAAGGCAAAACAAUGCCCUCCUCGCUAUUAUAAAAGCCCUUGUGACAAAAGCCAAAAUGAUUGACUUUGACAUCAUGGAGAGGGAUUGCAGUCAUUUGAGGUUGAGCGAGAGAAAAUGCCUGAGUGUGUACUUUGUUUUAUGGCCUGUGCUUUCCUCUCCAAGGGGCCUGCAUUUAUUUUUGUGUCUCAAUCACAGGGCAUAAAUCACGCCUGUCUCUCGCUGUUUUGCCCUCAGCCUUUCUCUUUCUCCGUCUGUCGCUUUUGCUCCAUCUCACACUAUUAUCACUAUUCCCUUUCUUUUUUCUUUCUCUCUCUCUGUGCAUUAUCACACAAUGUGAAAAGGCAGUCCUCUCCAGCCAACGAGGGUCCUGUUUUCUGUCCUGCGGAAGAAUUAGCCCCUCAGACGUUACCACAUCCCAGGCUGCGGUGCAUACUUUCAAAGCCUAUGUUUCUCCACUUCACCCGGGCCUCAGGCCUCGUGGCCUUCCAUUCUCAGCCUCUAAUUAGAUUACCCAGAUUCUCCGUUUUGCGUCGGGCUCCACUCUGGGCAAGACCUACCUUCUCAGAGCUGUAAUAUGGAGCCUUAAAAAGAGGAAAUGACCUAAAUGGCGGUCAGAUAGGAGUCUGUUACACCCAGUUGUGUGCUGACACAACCACUUCUAUGCAGUUGCCAAUCCUCACCAGGAUUUAUGGCGCAUGGCGGUUGGUAAUGGUAUAGUCGGGCAGGGCUUUUAUGGCCAGGUCAAGGCCAGAACGGCAGGUUAGGAUGCUCAGUUGCUGACAGAGGGUGACCAUGAUACAGUAGAAUGUACUGCUGCUCCAAAUGUACAGCUACAUUAAUGUAGUCUAAGAAACAGCACUAGAUUCUUAGCCCAUAGAGACAUUCUCCAAUCAUCAGAGAAAACAGUGUCGUGACAGGCAACAGGAUCGUCCUCUGGAGUCGAUCACCUGAUAUAUCAACUGUCUAGAUUCAGUGUGCCCACUAUUGCCUCAGAUUUCUGUUCUACGCUGUUAGGAGUGGAACCCAAUAUGGUCUUCUGCUGAUAUAGCCUCAAGUUUCAACAUGUGCAUUCUGAUGCUUUUCUGCUCACCGUGGUUGUAAAGAGUGGUUAUUUGAGAUACUGUAGCCUUCCUGUGAACUCAAACCAGGCUGAUUAUUUUCCUGACCUCUUUCAUCGCUUUGUUCAGUGGAUGUUUUUUGUUUUUCACACCAUUGUGUUACGAUUAACUAAAACUCUUCACCUGUAUCUGCAUGUUUUUAUGCAUUGUGCUGCUGCCACAUGAUUGGCUGAUUGGUUAACUGCAUGAAUACAUUGAGGUACAAUUGAUGGUGAGUGCAUAAUUGAGCAAUUAUUAGCCUUUUCCACAAAUUUCACAAAAACAGUUCAUUGUACACCUGUAGGACAAAAUAUUUUUUAUGUAAGAAUUAAAGGAAAUUUGAAUUUUUAAUGCAAGCAGUGGUAACAUUAAAUGAACCGUAUUUUGUUCUGUUAUUUAUUGUUUAGCAUAGGCAGUUUUUUUGUGUGUGUGUGUGUGUGUGUGUGUGUGUUUUUGCUAUAUAUUAGUUCAUACAUAGACCGUAUCAAUGUGUAACUAGAUGUACAUGGAUUAAUCUAAUGGUUUAGCAGGUGAUGUGUAACUGAUAUUAGAUAUAUGAUGGUUUUCUAAUGGGAUUCAAAUGUGUUAAAUUCAGGAAUAGGAGAAAUGGAUAUGUGUUGCUACCACUGAUUGUGUUGGAGGAAAAGAAUAAAGGAAAUGAGCAAAUGUACAACUCACAUGAGAGUUUUAUGAUUGUGACAUUAUGACUGAGUUUAAAAACCUUCCUAAAUGUUUAUUAAGAUGCUCUAAACUAACAUUCUACAAUAGUUUAUGAAUUACAUGUAAAUCAUUCCAUGAAUCAUUAAUUAUAUAAAUGUGUUCAGGUUAUUCACAGAUAGGGACCUAGAUUUUGAAUUCUCAAGUGUCAUUCGUCAAAAGGUGCUGAUUCAUUUUCUAUAAUAUCAGCUCUAACAAUAGUUGGGCUGCAAGACACAUCACAAGUUUAUAUUAAUGUGCUUGCUUUAUCACAUGUUAUCAUUUCUGUAGUAAUUCCCAGGGACUUGUAGUGUGGGUGAUGCACAUUGUCACCUAGCAGAGACAGGUGGAUGUCUGUGCAACCACACUUUCAUUCAAAUCCAAGUCGUUAGGCUGAGUUGUAAUCAAAACAUGCAAGGGUCAUAUCAAACACACAUGCAGCAAACAGGGAAAACAAAACCAAAUCAGAUACAGGAAACAAAAUGGAGGGAGUCAAAAACCUUGAAAUAAACAUGAUACAAACAUGGAACCAAAACCUUGCAAUGAACACAUGAUUGAGAGACAUGUAAACAGACAGAAAGAUUGGAACAAGCUAGAAACAGGUGUUAGUUUUUAGGUGAGUGUGAGAGUCUUAAUGUCUGGACUGGCUUGGCUCCAAGGUGGAAUAGGAUGUGACACACAUUAUCUAAGACUGACAGUAAACAGUAAUAAAGCGUGUUGUUAUUUAACAAAAGAAAAACAUAUGAGACAAAUUUGUGGGGAAAAAAUAGAAACUGUAUGAUAUGAUGAAGUUUUCUGUGAGGGGAUGUUUACUGAACAUUUAUGGAAGGAGUCUUCUGUGUCAGCAUUUUGUAAAGGUCAGUCAUUUUUCCCAACACAUGAGAGUCUUCAGGACAGAGGAGUUUUUUACGUGUGUUUAUGUAUCAUUAACUUCCAGAAAAGAGAAGGGUGAGUGAAUGACAGUUUAUAGCUCCUUAACAGGAAAGUGAUAACAGGAUCUAACUUGUCCCAAGGACAUUCCACAACAUUAAAUGUUAAACAUAAAUGAAAUAAAUGCAAUAUGCUGUGUCAUUAUUUAAUAAACAAAAACUUGUUAUCGUUGGCACAUUGCUGUGGUAUAAGAGGAAUAAAACACUUCAGCAUGUGUAGUUGUGAGAAAAGAAUCAACUUUAUGGUGCUAACAUCCAAUCUUUACAAAAUGAAACUUCGACCAUCAUGAAAAGGUCACAUACAUAGAGCAGCACAUGUGAGAGGCUGAGAGUUUUUAAAAAAAAUUUUGACAAUACAGAUUUGAUUUACUUUAUGUAGAAUUUCCUUGGCUCUUGAAUGAAAUUAACGUCUUUGUUUCUCAUCUAGCCUAAAAAAUUUACAUACUGCAUCUACAGGGUGUCCCAAAAGUCUCUACACAUAGGGGACUAUGUUUGCCAGCACCACGUCGGUUGUGCCUUCGUCAGUGGAUGUUCGUGGACGUCCACUUCUCGAUCCGGCCGCAACACUUCCAGUCUUUUUGAAUUUGUUAAUAAGUUUGGCAACAGUGUCGUGUGUGAUGUGCUCGCCAUGUUUACUGUUAAAAGUCCAUCGCAACAUUGUGACAGCUUCCUGAUCCAACCAUGAGAAUGAUUUCAAUACGUUCUUCUUUUGUCAAAGGCGUUCUUAAAGGCUAUCUGAAAAAAAAAAAAAAAUCUAUAUAUAAUAUAAAGUAUGAAAAAUUUUGGAAGACAUAUUUACCCUAUGUAUGGAGACUUUUGGGAUACCCUGUAGUUUUAACCAUAUUGCUAUCUCUCCUGUUCAUAAGCUGAAGACACCAAGCAGGCCAAGAAUCAGCCGAGCAGCCAGUAAUCGAUUACUUACGGACACCCUGAAGUGAAGCAAUGUAUGUGGAAAGGAGCCAGAAUUCCUGCAUGGUUCACCUAAUUUAGAUGUACAUACCCUCAAAUUAACGUUGACAAUCUGCACUUUAACCUAGUCAUUUUCAAAUCCAGUGUGCUGAAAUACCGGACAAAAUAACAAAAGGGGGUAAGUGUGCAUGUGUGUGUGUGUGUGUGUGUGUGUGUGUGUGUGUGUGCAGAGAAUAUGGCGUAACAUGAGUGAUGUCUCUGCAGAUUCUGCUCGGAGGAAGUGGUGAGUGUGAGUGAUUCUCAGUCAUAAAUCAUUCCAGCAGGAUUGUGGGAGGCUGCCAAGCACGGAGAAAUGGUCAUGUUCUGCACAUAGACUAUCUCUCAUACACACAGCCUCUUGUUCCACACGUGCUCUGCUCCACAUUUUUAUAUUUCAGACAAAGAGAGUACCACGAAGGGUAGAUUUAUGAAAAUGCACGUGUCAGGACGAAGAGUGGAAGCCUGUAUUUACACUCCUAGAUUUUACAGUAUGGAAUGUAGCUGUUUAUGUAUGUAGGUGGUUAUGGCAAAUCAUUUCUUGUGCAUGCUUUAGAUAUUGGAUUUUAAAGUAUAUGUUCCCCAAGGUGCUCCAAAACAAUAAUUACUGUACAAAUAAUAAUUACUAGCAGGUAAAAAGUAGCACUUACGUAGAAAUAAAAGUUGCAACUUAACGGUAAGCAAAUACUGUAAAUGCUAAGAAAUAACAUAUUAUUCAUAUGCAGUAAUAAAUAUUUUAAUAAAUACAUGAGAAGACAAAGGUAAACAUGUCUGAUAAUGCUUUUAACAUUUUACCAUUACUCACCACUCUAUCCCAAAAAGGACAAAUUAUGCUUGAUGGAACACCGCUCACACACUCAUUCACACCAAGGACAAUUUAGAGUAUCAAAUCCACCUAGGCAUGUUUUUUGUGAGGUCGAAUGAAACCGCAGAACCCGGAGGAAACCCACACAGACACGAGAAGAACAUGUGAAACUCCUCACAGACAGUAACCUGAGCUCAGGAUUGAACUCAGAACCCUGGAGCUGUGAGGCCUCACUUAAAAGUUAAGGCUUAAUAAUAAUAUCACAUGUUAAUAUGGCUCUUGGUAUCAAAUAUGGCUCUAUACAUUACUAGGUACUACAGUACGUGCUUGUAAAAUAUAUACAAUAUAUCAUUUUAUUUUGCAGGAGGUCCUGCAAAAUUAUAAAUGAAUUUAAACAGCUGAAGGUGAAACGAACCAGUCCACAGGGAGUAAAAACCUCAACUGAACUUCAUCUAUAGCACACCAUGCAUUUUACAUUGGCACAGCUCUAACGUUAGAAAAUGACUGAAGCGCCUCUCAUGAAUAAAUAUCACAAGCAGCUCAGCGUCCGCUUCAGAGCUGUUCUCAAUUAGCAGCUAUCACACUGAAUUUCACAAAAAAAAAAAAAAAACCCACACAGCUGGGGAAUGUGAGAACAUGGGAAUCAGAUUGCCUUAACAGGAUUUUGACACGUUUCUACUCAGCAGGUGACUGCAAUAACACUGAGAAUGAUUUACUUAAAUGCACAGGUUUUGUUUUUUUUAAAUAUAUAUAUCUAUGUAUGUAUUUUAUAUUUGCUCCAUUACAAUGCAAACCUUCCCUUCUACAUUUGCAACCAGUUGUUUGAACGUUUGCCUUGGUGCUGAAUUAUAAUAAAAUAACUCCUUGCUAAGUUUUGAUACUGAUACUGGCAGAAACCCUGAAUCUUCAGCAGCUCAUGAAGCAGAGCUUCUUAGAACUGCUUAAUCAAUCUCAAUCAUGAGCUGUGGCUUCACACCGAGACUCAUUCUCUUCUUUCACCAAAUCCCAGGACCACAGCAAGAAAAACCGCACUUCACACAUGCGUGUCACAUGGAAAUAUGGAACAAAUUAAACCUGUGCACACAGAACAACUGACCAAUCUGACAUCUGAGUCAGUGAAGGAGCACGGGCUGACCAAGAACAUAAGAACGUUUCGGCAUUAACGUUGAGCAAUGAAGAUUCUGUUUUCCCCAAGCUAACGUUGGUUAGGGCCUCUGAUAUAAAACAGAAGGCAUUUAAGUGACUUCUGAGACCACGUUAUAGCCAUUAAAGUGCUCUCAGUACACCAAAGGAUGCGUGGUCUUGGUCCUAAACCCUGUCUGUUUCUGGUUCCUUUUUUGUUCUCAUGGCUAUUUCCCCUGGGUAGUCUAAAGCAUAAGGGUGUGUGAGGGAUAAGAGGUGGGGAAGGAUAAGAGCUCCUGGCCUCACGCCAUCCAUAAUUACCUCACACUCUGGCUCGGCCGACGGGAAACCCAAAGCCUUAAUCAAUUAGCAAUCAGCGGUUGGCUCAGAAGGAGCGAGAGUCCCUGCAUGGCCCCAGUGUGCAGACACAAGUUUAGUGGCUAGUCCAGAAUCCUGCUGUCAUCAGAGCAGUCUAAAGUUAGAAAAAACAGCCAACUGUGUGAGGUAUCACAGGCUUAUGAGGCAAAACAUCAUUUCUGACACUAAUAUUUUAAAUGGAAAUAAAAGCAUUUAUACCCAACAACACAUAGAAAGUGUGGUUUAAAAUAUAUUUUUAAACAAGUAAUGAUGCUACAAGUUUAAAACCAAACUCUAAUGAUAAAAAAUAUAUAUAUUCUAAAACUAGGCUUUAGCCUUUUUCGGACAGGUUUAGUGUUUCUGGGUGACGUAAGACAAGCAAGUGUCUAUGAACCUAGGUUUGUUUUAAACACAUAACAGUACUGUGCAAAAGUUUUAGGCACCCUAAUUUUUCAGUACAAACUUUGUUAUAGAUUUUUUAUUUUAUGACUUAUA